rfam:Dipodomys ordii contig_10603, whole genome shotgun sequence.
GGUGGCUCAGUGGUAGAGCGCUUGCCUUGCAUGCCUGUGGCCCUGGGUUCAAUUCCUCAGCACCA